rnacentral:rRNA from 1 species
CCUACGGGCGGCAGCAGUGGGGAAUAUUGGACAAUGGGGGCAACCCUGAUCCAGCCAUGCCGCGUGUGUGAAGAAGGCCCUCGGGUUGUAAAGCACUUUCAGUGAGGAAGAACGCCUGGUGGUUAAUACCCAUCAGGAAAGACAUCACUCACAGAAGAAGCACCGGCUAACUCCGUGCCAGCAGCCGCGGUAAUACGGAGGGUGCGAGCGUUAAUCGGAAUUACUGGGCGUAAAGCGCGCGUAGGUGGCUUGAUAAGCCGGUUGUGAAAGCCCCGGGCUCAACCUGGGAACGGCAUCCGGAACUGUCAAGCUAGAGUGCAGGAGAGGAAGGUAGAAUUCCCAGUGUAGCGGUGAAAUGCGUAGAGAUCGGGAGGAAUACCAGUGGCGAAGGCGGCCUUCUGGACUGACACUGACACUGAGGUGCGAAAGCGUGGGUAGCAAACAGGAUUAGAUACCCUGGUAGUC